UUAACUUCUAUGAAAGGAAGAGUAAAUAUAAUAUUAGUAUCUUAAGCGAGUAGAGGCUGGUGGGAGCUCUAUGAGAAAAUUUAUAUUGAAGACAUCCUGAAGAAGCUUAUCUGAAAUCUAUUAAAACAUGAAAAAGAAAUUUUAGUAGGAUAAGCCGGACUCCUCCGUUAAAAGGCUAAAGAUGACUUAGUAAUUUACCUUUGUCAAAGUAGAAUGGCACCGUGAAGAUAUAGCUUUCACUUCUAUAAAAUGAAGUGGGAGCUUUUUUUAAUAAAUGGGCCCAUUUAAUUUUAUUCUUCACAAAUUAUAGGUUUAAUAAUAAGUCAAAAAGGGUGGUACCGCGAAAAUAAUUUUUGCCCCUUGA
rnacentral:ncRNA from 1 species